GAUGAACGCUAGCGGCAGGCCUAACACAUGCAAGUCGAGGGAGAAGCCCUUUCGGGGGCAGAAACCGGCGCACGGGUGCGUAACGCGUAUGCAACCUACCUUUCACAGGGGGAUAGCCCGAAGAAAUUUGGAUUAAUACCCCAUAAUAUUAUUGGAUGGCAUCAUUUGAUAAUUAAAACUGCGGUGGUGAAAGAUGGGCAUGCGUCCUAUUAGCUAGUUGGAGUGGUAACGGCACCCCAAGGCUACGAUAGGUAGGGGUCCUGAGAGGGAGAUCCCCCACACUGGUACUGAGACAGGGACCAGACUCCUACGGGAGGCAGCAGUGAGGAAUAUUGGUCAAUGGUCGGAAGACAGAACCAGCCAUGCCGCGUGCAGGAAGAAUGCCUUAUGGGUUGUAAACUGCUUUUAUAUGGGAAGAAUAAGGCGUACGUGUACGUUGAUGACGGUACCAUAUGAAUAAGCAUCGGCUAACUCCGUG
rnacentral:rRNA from 1 species